GAUGAACGCUGGCGGCGUGCUUAACACAUGCAAGUCGAACGGAAAGGCUCCUGCUUGCAGGGGUACUCGAGUGGCGAACGGGUGAGUAACACGUGGGUGAUCUGCCCUGCACUUCGGGAUAAGCCUGGGAAACUGGGUCUAAUACCGGAUAGGACGAUGGUUUGGAUGCCAUUGUGGAAAGUUUUUCGGUGUGGGAUGAGCUCGCGGCCUAUCAGCUUGUUGGUGGGGUAAUGGCCUACCAAGGCGUCGACGGGUAGUCGUCCUGAGAGGGUGUACGGCCACAUUGGGACUGAGAUACGGCCCAGACUCCUACGGGAGGCAGCAGUGGAGAAUAUUGCACAAUGGGCGCAAGCCUGAGGCAGCGACGCUGCGUGGGGGAUGACGGCCUUCGGGUUGUAAACUCCUGUCGCUAGGGACGAAGCGGAAGUGACGUUACCUGGAGAAGAAGCACCGGCUAACUACGUG
rnacentral:rRNA from 1 species